rnacentral:rRNA from 1 species
UGGGGAAUAUUGCACAAUGGGGGAAACCCUGAUGCAGCGACGCCGCGUGAACGAAGAAGGUAUUCGUAUCGUAAAGUUCUGUCCUAUGGGAAGAUAAUGACAGUACCAUAGAAGAAAGCUCCGGCUAAAUACGUGCCAGCAGCCGCGGUAAUACGUAUGGAGCGAGCGUUGUCCGGAAUUAUUGGGCGUAAAGGGUACGCAGGCGGUUUAAUAAGUCGAUUGUUAAAGAUCGGGGCUCAACCCCGCAAAGCAUUGGAAACUGAUAAACUUGAGUAGUGGAGAGGAAAGUGGAAUUCCUAGUGUAGUGGUGAAAUACGUAGAUAUUAGGAGGAAUACCAGUAGCGAAGGCGACUUUCUGGACACAAACUGACGCUGAGGUACGAAAGCGUGGGGAGCAAACAGG